rnacentral:tRNA from 1 species
GGUUGUGGCUCAGUGGUAAAGCGUUUGCCUAGCAUACAUGAGGCACUGGGUUCGCUUCUCAGCACCA